CGCUGGCGGCGUGCUUAACACAUGCAAGUCGAACGGGAUCCAUCAAGCUUGCUUGGUGGUGAGAGUGGCGAACGGGUGAGUAAUGCGUGACCGACCUGCCCCAUGCACCGGAAUAGCUCCUGGAAACGGGUGGUAAUGCCGGAUGCUCCAUCACACCGCAUGGUGUGUUGGGAAAGCCUUUGCGGCAUGGGAUGGGGUCGCGUCCUAUCAGCUUGAUGGCGGGGUAACGGCCCACCAUGGCUUCGACGGGUAGCCGGCCUGAGAGGGCGACCGGCCACAUUGGGACUGAGAUACGGCCCAGACUCCUACGGGAGGCAGCAGUGGGGAAUAUUGCACAAUGGGCGCAAGCCUGAUGCAGCGACGCCGCGUGAGGGAUGGAGGCCUUCGGGUUGUAAACCUCUUUUGUUAGGGAGCAAGGCACUUUGUGUUGAGUGUACCUUUCGAAUAAGCACCGGCUAACUACGUGCCAGCAGCCGCGG
rnacentral:rRNA from 1 species